AUCUAAUGAUGGGGCAGCUUGCACACAACCUUUUAAAUCCCUCCCAAUACUCAUAUAAACUUUCUCCAUGUUAUUGUCUAAUCCCAGAAAUAUCUUUUCUAAUU
rnacentral:snoRNA from 1 species